rnacentral:rRNA from 1 species
GACGAACGCUGGCGGCGUGCUUAACACAUGCAAGUCGAACGGUAAGGCCCCAGCUUGCUGGGGUACACGAGUGGCGAACGGGUGAGUAACACGUGGGUGACCUGCCCCGCACUUCGGGAUAAGCCUGGGAAACUGGGUCUAAUACCGGAUAGGACCGCACCGUGAGGGUGUGGUGGAAAGUUUUUCGGUGUGGGAUGGGCCCGCGGCCUAUCAGCUUGUUGGUGGGGUAAUGGCCUACCAAGGCGGCGACGGGUAGCCGGCCUGAGAGGGUGGACGGCCACCUUGGGACUGAGACACGGCCCAGACUCCUACGGGAGGCAGCAGUGGGGAAUAUUGCACAAUGGGCGGAAGCCUGAUGCAGCGACGCAGCGUGGGGGAUGACGGCCUGCGGGUUGUAAACUCCUUUCACCAUCGACGAAGGUUUUCUGACGGUAGAUGGAGAAGAAGCCACGGCUAACUACGUG